rnacentral:rRNA from 1 species
CCUAAGGUAGCGAAAUUCCUUGUCGGGUAAGUUCCGACCUGCACGAAUGGCGUAAUGAUGGCCAGGCUGUCUCCACCCGAGACUCAGUGAAAUUGAACUCGCUGUGAAGAUGCAGUGUACCCGCGGCAAGACGGAAAGACCCCGUGAACCUUUACUAUAGCUUGACACUGAACAUUGAGCCUUGAUGUGUAGGAUAGGUGGGAGGCUUAGAAGUGUGGACGCCAGUCUGCAUGGAGCCGACCUUGAAAUACCACCCUUUAAUGUUUGAUGUUCUAACGUUGGCCCCUGAUCGGGGUUGCGGACAGUGUCUGGUGGGUAGUUUGACUGGGGCGGUCUCCUCCUAAAGAGUAACGGAGGAGCACGAAGGUUGGCUAAUCCUGGUCGGACAUCAGGAGGUUAGUGCAAUGGCAUAAGCCAGCUUGACUGCGAGCGUGACGGCGCGAGCAGGUGCGAAAGCAGGUCAUAGUGAUCCGGUGGUUCUGAAUGGAAGGGCCAUCGCUCAACGGAUAAAAGGUACUCCGGGGAUAACAGGCUGAUACCGCCCAAGAGUUCAUAUCGACGGCGGUGUUUGGCACCUCGAUGUCGGCUCAUCACAUCCUGGGGCUGAAGUAGGUCCCAAGGGUAUGGCUGUUCGCCAUUUAAAGUGGUACGCGAGCUGGGUUUAGAACGUCGUGAGACAGUUCGGUCCCUAUCUGCCGUGGGCGCUGGAGAACUGAGGGGGGCUGCUCCUAGUACGAGAGGACCGGAGUGGACGCAUCACUGGUGUUCGGGUUGUCAUGCCAAUGGCACUGCCCGGUAGCUAAAUGCGGAAGAGAUAAGUGCUGAAAGCAUCUAAGCACGAAACUUGCCCCGAGAUGAGUUCUCCCUGACUCCUUGAGAGUCCUGAAGGAACGUUGAAGACGACGACGUUGAUAGGCCGGGUGUGUAAGCGCAGCGAUGCGUUGAGCUAACCGGUACUAAUGAACCGUGAGGCUUAACCUU